GACGAACGCUGGCGGCGUGCUUAACACAUGCAAGUCGAACGGAAAGGCCCUGCUUUUGUGGGGUGCUCGAGUGGCGAACGGGUGAGUAACACGUGAGUAACCUGCCCUUGACUUUGGGAUAACUUCAGGAAACUGGGGCUAAUACCGGAUAGGAGCUCCUGCUGCAUGGUGGGGGUUGGAAAGUUUCGGCGGUUGGGGAUGGACUCGCGGCUUAUCAGCUUGUUGGUGGGGUAGUGGCUUACCAAGGCUUUGACGGGUAGCCGGCCUGAGAGGGUGACCGGCCACAUUGGGACUGAGAUACGGCCCAGACUCCUACGGGAGGCAGCAGUGGGGAAUAUUGCACAAUGGGCGGAAGCCUGAUGCAGCAACGCCGCGUGCGGGAUGACGGCCUUCGGGUUGUAAACCGCUUUCGACUGUGACGAAGCGUGAGUGACGGUAAUGGGUAAAAAAGCACCGGCUAACUACGUG
rnacentral:rRNA from 1 species